AGAAGAAGAAAGAAAGAAAGAAAUAUUAGCUCCGUAAGCCCAGAAAGACAUAUCACUAAUAUGGCUGCCGCAUACUAGGACUUUCUUUUUUCUCUUUUGAAAUGGAUCUAUGUACCUCUUGCUGUCCCAGAAUUCACUAUGUAGACCAGGCUAGCUUUGAACUCACAAAGAUAUAUUUGCCUCUGCCUCCCCCAAGUGCUGGGAUUAAAGGAGUGCACCACCAUCCCCAGCAACAUAGUAUGACAGCAAUGUAGGAAGCGCCACUGUUAUCUACAGGGGCUCUCCCAGCAGCCACUUGCUCUGCGCUGCUCUCCCCGGAGCACCUAGGUCUGUGAGGAGGAGAUCCCGUGAAUCUGACCUCUGCAGUUGCAGCUGUAUAGCUGGCUUGCUCUUGGCUUAUCUUCUCCAGGGGUAAGAGGUGUGGGAGUUUGAGGGUGUUAUUUCGCAAGGUUACCCAUCUCUAGUACAAGGCACACAUGGAUUGUCUUAGAAAAGUAUCCACAGCUUCCUAGGUAGGUCACUUUAAGAAUUCCCAGACUAUCAUCUUGCCCAGAAGACAAUAGAAGCUAAAAAAGAAACUACAGUUCAAACUUUAGAAAGAAAGUAGGAUCAGGUAAGGUGCAUAUUGGCCUGUGGAUCCUCUACCCCAGUCACCUCCCAGCUCCCUUCAUUACAGGAAGGGGUUUGUCCUCUAUUACAGGCCUUCCUUCCCUCUACCUCUGUGGUGUUUGAGGCAAGGGGGGGGGUACAGAUCCUGCUCUUCUGGCUCUACAGUAAGGAUGGAACCCCUCAUGAGAACUGCACGGUCUCAGGCUUGCCUGUGCCUACCUCUAAUGAAGGGCAGGUGCGGGCCUUCUGGAAAGAUCGGGCCCCGAGGAGCCAGGCUUCACUUGUGGCCUUCAGGAUAUUUAUUCUGGGAGGUGCAGACGUGGGGUUAUAGACAUCACUACUCUCUUUUAUUGCUAUGUACAACUUGACACUAUUAAAGUACAUCUCUGAAAACUAGGUUCAAGUAUAAUAUGCCCUACACAAGCCAACAGUGUGUAUCUUUAGAAAUGUAUCCUUCCUGUUAAGUUCACCCAGGAGAGAACUGAAGGCCUGGGCAGCCACAAACACCCAUUAGAUAUCAAAUCUAGCCUAGUCAGACAUAGCCUUCCUGUUUUCCUGAGCGCUGUCCAGGCAACAGAAACUGGUCCUAGGGCUAUUUUAUAAAAAAGAGAGAAGAGGGGAGCUGUGCUCUCCCCAACACUCUUUUCCUAGGAAACUGGAGCUCCUAAGAGAGAGCAGGGCCUGGCCCACAUGGCCGGCAGAGGAAGGCGGAAGAGACCGGAUCUUGAGGUUACUUAGCUUGGCCCAUGUCACAAGCACAGAGGACAAAGAUCGGUUUCUGACGGGCCACACCUAGGGCGGCUGGGAGGCCGGGCAGGGAUGGCAUCAGCUGCCUUCUGGUCUGAGGUAGGCAGUGGAGUUACGAAUGUGGGCAUUAGGCUUCUUUCUCCUUUUUCGCAGGAGGCAAUGCAGGAGGCUCGGGUACUCUUCCAGAUGUCCCCCACUCCCCAAAGGGGAGUUUGGAUCCUCCUCACAGGGAGAACCUCUUACUGGGCAUACAGAUAUGAUAUAUGUAUAUGUAUAUUUUACACACACACACACACACACACACACACACACACACACACACACAGAGGAUUGAGCCUAGGGCCUCUAUCACUGAGCGAUGUCCCCAGUAUUGUUCUCGUGGUUGUUUGAUUUUGUGGUUGUUUUGUUUUUUAUCUUUUGAAGCCAGAACAUUUAUUUUGUGACUGAUUGUCGUGACCUUCAAGAUGAAGCCGAUGCUGCAGUGGCCACUGCCUUGGGUGUAGGUGUUGGUCUUUCACGGAGUCCAUGUCUGAUCCGUGCCAGACAGUGUCUGCCCCAUUCUCCAGUCGCUGCGGUGUCUGGUCUCUUAGACUUGGCACUCCGGCAAUGCUUUCUCUUGAGUUUGGCAUGGGACCCGUGUUUGUUGUGGUUUGACUUCUGAAAGUGGUGGGCCUCAGGGAUGCAGCAACCGCACAACCACCAGUGGGUGUGGCCUUUAAAAAUUCUUCCCCAAAGUUGCUCUUGCUCAUCUUCCUUCGGCUGCAGAGGUCAGAAAGGUUAGGAGAGAAGGCAGGCACUCUGGUCGUCUGUCCUUCCCCCUCUCACUACAUUGAACAGGCUGAUGGUAAUUCUUUUAGUAGCUGAGGCGAGACUUGAACUCAUUUCAGUCCACAGAGUAGCCAGGAUUACAGGCGUGUGUGACCAGCCUGGCUCCCCUUACAUGCUCCCAGUAUCGAUCUCUAUGGCCAUCACGAGGUCACCCCAAAAUUAUCUGCAUGUUCCAUCAUAAAUUGAUUCCCCUAUAGAUAUGGAAGGCCAGAAGUCCAAAACCAGUUCCAGAGGGGCCAAGUCAAGGACUUGGCAGGAUUAUGAUCUUCACAGAGAGCUCUGCUCCCAGCAUCCUCCAGCUUUGGUGACACUCAGCUAGCCUGGCCUGCGACCACACAAUUCAUACCGUCUCCUUCACUCGACAGAAUCUCACUGUGUAAUUGAAGCUGGCCUAGCAUUUCCCCUGCCUCGUGCUGGGAUUAUGGGCUUGUCUACUCUGCCCAUCUCGCCACCCUUUCUGGCUCAGCUCUCUCUGCCUAGCUCUUUAGAGAACACUCAGCACGGCCCUUAGGGCUCACCCCCCCUGAGCCCUGCUACCUCCUCACCUCACGGUCCUCAGCGUAACGAAUGGGCAAAGACUCCACUUUCCAAAUACCAUCACUAUAGCAUGCUCCAGGGGGUGGGCAGAGAUAUCUACGGGUUCAUUUCUCAGUGUGCCCCAUCUUCCAUUCUGCAGACUAACUCUUCAUUUCUCAGACUCUUGCAGACAUUGUACCUUGAAGCCCUCUGCGGAGGAGAGAUUUGCUGACAAGCCUGGGAAUGUAGCUGGCUUACAGCUACAGUUAAGACUCCUUUAGGAUUAGCCUCGGCAGCAGGAAGCGUCCGUCCAGAGUACACUGUAGCUGUCUUCAGACACCCCAGAAGAGGGUAUCAGAUUUCGUUACGGAUGGUUGUGAGCCACCAUGUGGUUGCUGGGAUUUGAACUCGGGACCUUCGGAAGAGCAGUCGGCGCUCUUAACCACUGAGCCAUCUCGCCAGCCCCGAGAUAGAAGUUUAUGAUCUGGAUCUUGGUAUGGAGAUCUUGAGGCAUAGUGGCUAUGGAUUCCAGAAGAUUAAAUCUCCGAGUUCAAGGUCAUCCGGGAUUAAAGGUGUGGUGGAACUCUUGCUCCUUCGCCUGCUUGCUGCGUGAGACUGAGUAACUGCUAGAUCCUUGGACUUCCAUUCACAGCUAUGACUGAACCAUUGUUGGGAACUGGGCUGCAGACUAUUAUAUUCACUCCCCUGUCACAAUGAAGAUGCAGUAAUCAACACAGUGGUGUACUUGAGAGGUGGUAGACAGGGCCAAGUUCAAGGCCACCUGGGCACGGAGGGCACAGCCAGCCAAGACAACGGUACAGUCAGUAGCCCUGAGGACAACUCCGCUGACUGACUCUGUGUGGCCUUCAUGGACCUGUGCCCACCCUGGGAAGCUAACCAUCCCUAAUUUCUUCCCACUUUCUGACUCCUAAGAGGCUCAAGAGGGAGUUGGCUCCAUAUCCUGACCUGCAAAGGGAGGUAAAGGCAGCUGGGGACCUUGAAGCUCUUUGCCCUAGAACAUGAAUCACAACCAUCAGCAUCAUUAAACCUCCGUGUAAACAGCUCGCCCUUGCUCAUCCUUCCUCCUUGCCCGAGCAGCUAUCAAUGCCAGGCUGUAGAGAUGAACAAGUCUGCAAACCUUCCCACCACGUGCUCUCAGGUCAGCAACUGAAAACAAUAGCAACAUGGAGAUACUCCACACACAACACAGCAAGGUGCUCAAACUUAGGGCUGCUGAGUUUCCAGGGCUUCCAAGAAGAUUCCUCUCUCUCCCUCUCUCUCUCUCUCCCCCUCUCUUCUUCUCUCUCUUUCUCUUCUUUCUUCCUCUCUUUCCUUUCUUUUAUCUCUCCCCUCUCUCUUCCUUUUUCUCUCUCUCUUCUUCCCUCUGUUUCCCCCCUCUCCCUCUUCCUCCUGUCAUACACACACACACACACACACACACACACACACCAGUUUGCGGACCAUAAAGUAAUUAAUCCACAUAGAAUUCAUAUAAAUGUCAUUUGGAUGUCAAAGGUAAAGCCUCAUUUUACAGAUUUUUUUUCAUGAUAAGCCAUGGGCACUGGUCCAGAACCAGGUGUGGUAAGGAAGAGCCUUGUAAGUCAGAAGGGACUUCAGGGGCGACAGCUCCGAGGAACCAGGGAGAAAGUGAAAGUCACUCUGAAGGCUGGUGAAGGACACAGAGAGGCCACUGCAGCUGAGCCAUCGUGGCAGGCCAAGGGUGGGCACAGGUGUGUCACACAGAGAGCAAGAAUGGAAGCUAAGGAGGCUGGCAUGACCUGGGUUUGAAUCCCAACCUCCCCAGCAUCAACUGUAUCGGUGUUGGACGAGUAACCAUGUAAGCUUUGGCUCUCUCACCUUUAACUUAGCUACUAAUAGAAUCCGCCCUGUCUGUGAGUUGUUAUAAGGAUCAAAUUAGAUACAGCUUAUAAAACAUCAGAUCUACACUGGCAGGUGGUUAUCACUUAGUAAACAAGCUAACCAUAACAGAGGGCAGGGCAGCCUGCUUGCAGGGCACCUGCACUGUGCGGCUCUGUCCUUCCGCAUUGCAAAGCCUGGCUGGCUCAGACUCUGUCCCUCUUCACCGUCCCCUCUUCUAAAUCAGCAGAGACAUUUGAGAUUCAUGAUCAGAAACCUUCUGCAGCCUCUCCUUACUGAGAGUUCCACAAGCAAAGUCCUCCCUCUCUCCCAAAGCUGGCAGAGUGAAUGACUUGAACAACCUGGUCAUAGGUCUACCCAUAGGCCUCAAGUGCCUCAUGACCUAAGAAAAGUUCAGGAUGCCUGUGUCCUCUGGGCUAGUUUCCCCCUGGGGUCAGUGGUUGGGCAGAACUAUCAUCAAAGAUCUGUGAGUCAGCACGGAGCCGUGGGUAGGGGUGAAGUGCUGGUGGUCUCUGUUUCACCCUCACGACUCAAGAGGAUUGGGUCUGCUAGACUGACUGCACAGCCCCUGCUGUGCCCUGGUGUUGGUUCAAGGAGGAGAGAUACCCUUGGAGGGUGUGGCAGGGCCGGGCCUCGUGGGAUGUCCCAGGGAACUUGCACCACGUUAUUGGAACCCAGUGUUUAAUCAUAGGGGAGUCUGAGCAAUUCCACUUGCUUGAGUCAGCAUCCUGACAUGGGAGCCAAGUUCCCAUGAGAGCUCUGAAGAGGCCCUCAGUUCCUCUCUGUGGACUAUUUCCAGGGAUACCUCUCAACUUACUUUGUAAUGAUAAUGAUUAUAUAUUUUAUAUGUGUGUAUAGUUCACAAACCAUGAGAUCACGUAGCUACAAUAUGCUGUCAACUGUAAAAAGUUCUGAACAUUUAAAAAA